UUUCAGCUUUGGCAGUCGUCAUGUUUCCUGUUCUGAAUUGAAGCCCUUCUGCUGUUCGAGUAGUAUCAGAGUUUUAUUUAGUUUUUCGCAGCAUAUCUAGCGUUGGAAUAUCAGAGUCUUUCAGUUCUCAGAAUUGAAGCCAUUUUGCUGUUUAAUGCGAUUCUGUGCCACUUCUGAAGCUCAGACAGCGCAACAUCAGCAGAGAUCUCAGAGUUGUGAUGGAGGUUUCUUCUCUUCAGCUCAACACAAGCUGGGAUGUAGAAAUGAACUGCUAGAGCAUCAGAAACCAGAUAGGAAGAAACAACAGGACAGAGAGAAAAAUGGAGGCCAGAAAUGAGACACAAACCAGUGAAACACAAGAGAAAAACAGACUGACACUUGUCAGAUGUGCCAGUAUAGAGAUAAUAAAACCAAGCUUCUCACAUGAUCCAGACGGACCUGUAAACUUUCCUUCAGAUGAAACUUCAGCACGUUCUGAAGAACACACAACAUCCCUGAGACAGCAGCAGCGGCUGAAGACAACACCAUCAUGAUCCCAGACUCCAUCCAUCCACACUACAGUCUGCUCAGACCCUCAGAGACCUGCAGACACUAUCAGCAGCAGGGGCUCAAGCGGAAACAGAGACACUUCUCUUGCUUCUGAGGCAGCGUGAUGGUUUAAUGAUCUACAACAAAAUAGAACGAGUUUAGCUCAAUCAUCACUGAAUGGAACACACAUGAUUGUGGGAUAUCAAAGGAAACAUCUCUGCUGCCUUCAGAAAUCGAUCAGAUGAAGGUAUGAGACAGAAAGUGAAGCUAACAUUGGAUUCGGACGUGCCCUGAUGCCUUUCUUUGAAGUGUGUCCUCUGAAGACAGCAUCUUUCAGUGUUUGGGUGCAGCACAUGUUAAACUAUAGCAGGGCUGAGCAACUUUGGUCCUGAGGAACACUAUCAGCUCAACCCUAAUCAAACACACCUGCCUGUAGCUUUCUAGUUAUCUUGAAGACCUUGAUCAGUUUGUUUAGUUUGACUUGGAGCUAAACUCUGAACCAUAGUGGCCCUCCAGGACUGUAAGGUCCAGGCACUCGGUCCAAGGAAGGUAUCCGGUGCUGGCUGAAGGUUGCUUGCGCGUUCGGUCUUUUCAGCGCGU
ensembl:lncRNA